AGUGAACGCUGGCGGUAGGCCUAACACAUGCCGGUCGAACGGCAGCACAGUAAGAGCUUGCUCUUACGGGUGGCGAGUGGCGGACGGGUGAGGAAUACAUCGGAAUCUACUUUUUCGUGGGGGAUAACGUAGGGAAACUUACGCUAAUACCGCAUACGACCUACGGGUGAAAGCAGGGGAUCUUCGGACCUUGCGCGAUUGAAUGAGCCGAUGUCGGAUUAGCUAGUUGGCGGGGUAAAGGCCCACCAAGGCGACGAUCCGUAGCUGGUCUGAGAGGAUGAUAAGCCACACUGGAACUGAGACACGGUCCAGACUCCUAAGGGAGGCAGCAGUGGGGAAUAUUGGACAAUGGGCGCAAGCCUGAUCCAGCCAUACCGCGUGGGUGAAGAAGGCCUUCGGGUUGUAAAGCCCUUUUGUUGGGAAAGAAAAGCAGCAGGUUAAUACCCCGCUGUUCUGACGGUACCCAAAGAAUAAGCACCGGCUAACUUCGUG
rnacentral:rRNA from 1 species